rnacentral:rRNA from 1 species
UACGAAGGGGGCUAGCGUUGCUCGGAAUCACUGGGCGUAAAGCGCACGUAGGCGGCUUUUUAAGUCAGGGGUGAAAUCCUGGAGCUCAACUCCAGAACUGCCUUUGAUACUGGGAAGCUCGAGUCCGGGAGAGGUGAGUGGAACUCCGAGUGUAGAGGUGAAAUUCGUAGAUAUUCGGAAGAACACCAGUGGCGAAGGCGGCUCACUGGCCCGGUACUGACGCUGAGGAGCGAAAGCGUGGGGAGCAAACAGG